rnacentral:tRNA from 1 species
GCGAAUGUGGCGGAACUGGCAGACGCACUGGAUUUAGGUUCCAGCGGCCGCAAGGCCAUGGGAGUUCGACCCUCCCCGUUCGCACCA